GACGAACGCUGGCGGCGUGCCUAAUACAUGCAAGUAGGACGCAGUUGCGAACGGGUGAGUAACGCCUAGGUAACUGCCUAUUAGAGGGGGAUAACUAUUGGUAACGAUAGCUAAUACCGCAUACUAGUAGAUGGAUCUGCGUUGUAUUAGCUAGUAGGUAGGGGAAUGGCCUACCUAGGCGACGAUACAUAGCCGACCUGGGAGGGUGGACGGCCAAACUGGGAACUAGACACGGCCCAGACUCCGUCGGGAGGCAGCAGUAGGGAAUCUUCGGCAAUGGGGGGAACCCUGACCGAGCAACGGCGGGUGAGUGGAGGAGGUUUUCGGAUCGUAAAGGUCUGUUGUUAAGGAAGCGGUACUUAACCAGAAAGCGACGGCUAACUACGUGCCAGCAGCCGCGGUAAUAC
rnacentral:rRNA from 1 species